rnacentral:tRNA from 1 species
GCCUCCGUGGCUCAGCCUGGUAGAGCAGCUGACUUGUAAUCAGCAGGUCGCGAGUUCAAAUCUCGCCGGAGGCU